rnacentral:rRNA from 1 species
AGGACCCGUCUUGAAACACGGACCAAGGAGUCUAACAUGUGCGCGAGUCAUUGGGACUUGUAAAGCCUAAAGGCGUAAUGAAAGUGAAGGUCGUCCUUAGCGUCGACCGAGGGAGGAUGGCUCGCGUCACGAUGCGAGCCCGCACUCCCGGGGCGUCUCGUGCUCAUUACGAGCAGAGGCGCACCCAGAGCGUACACGUUGGGACCCGAAAGAUGGUGAACUAUGCCUGGUCAGGACGAAGUCAGGGGAAACCCUGAUGGAGGUCCGUAGCGAUUCUGACGUGCAAAUCGAUCGUCGGAACUGGGUAUAGGGGCGAAAGACUAAUCGAACCAUCUAGUAGCUGGUUCCCUCCGAAGUUUCCCUCAGGAUAGCUGGCACUCGCUUGAGCGAGUCUCAUCUGGUAAAGCGAAUGAUUAGAGGCCUUGGGGCCGAAACGACCUCAACCUAUUCUCAAACUUUAAAUGGGUGAGAUCUCUGGCUUGCUUGAACGUUGAAGCCACGAGAUGCAAUUCAUUGCAAUGGAUCAGAGUGCCAAGUGGGCCAAUUUUGGUAAGCAGAACUGGCGCUGUGGG